rnacentral:rRNA from 1 species
UACGGAGGAUGCAAGCGUUAUCCGGAAUGAUUGGGCGUAAAGCGUCCGCAGGUGGCUGUGUAAGUCUGCUGUUAAAUAGUGAGGCUCAACCUCAUAAAGGCAGUGGAAACUACACGGCUAGAGUGCGUUCGGGGCAGAGGGAAUUCCUGGUGUAGCGGUGAAAUGCGCAGAUAUCAGGAGGAACACCGGUGGCGAAGGCGGAUCUCUGGGCCUUACCUGACGCUCAGGUGCGAAAGCUAGGGGAGCGAACAGG